GUAGGUGGCAAGCGUUGUCCGGAAUUAUUGGGCGUAAAGCGCGCGCAGGCGGUUCUUUAAGUCUGAUGUGAAAGCCCACGGCUCAACCGUGGAGGGUCAUUGGAAACUGGAGAACUUGAGUACAGAAGAGGAAAGCGGAAUUCCACGUGUAGCGGUGAAAUGCGUAGAGAUGUGGAGGAACACCAGUGGCGAAGGCGGCUUUCUGGCCUGUAACUGACGCUGAGGCGCGAAAGCGUGGGGAGCAAACAGGAUUAGAUACCCUGGUAGUCCACGCCGUAAACGAUGAGUGCUAAGUGUUAGGGGGUUUCCGCCCCCCUUAGUGCUGCAGCUAACGCAUUAAGCACUCCGCCUGGGAGUACGGCCGCAAGGCUG
rnacentral:rRNA from 1 species